rnacentral:misc_RNA from 1 species
GGGAGGUUGGCAGCGCUGGCUAGAAAAAUAGUUUACAAAGACCAGAGUGCUAUGCUUUUGAUAGGUUAGAGGUAUCUUAGUAGCAGAUUAAAUUAGAUGACUUUGGAAAUUUUUUACAUCACACGUUAAUCAAUCAAAGUAAAACUCAAUAGCUAAAAGAAAGACUGAUUAUAUGGGGUCCUGUCAAAUGGGAUGAACAGCUACCAUCAGACCUAUUCCUCGAAUGACUUUUUGGAUAUUCCUCUUUUAUUGGACUUCUACAGAUCUUAUUUGACUUGUAAUUAUUUUGGAUCACGUUUCCUUUUGCUGCAUAGUUGGUUGCUUGUAUCUUCUUCUUUUUUUUUUCUUUUAACAAUAUAUUUAGAACAAGAGAGAUUAAAUUUGUGUUUGGAACUUUUCCCUUAUGUUUGCUAUAAGCAUGCAGCUGGAGUUGUAGCCAGCAUAAUGGCCAAUCCUUAA